AAACUUUCAACAACGGACUCUUGGUUCUGGCAUCGAUGAAGAACGCAGCGAAAUGCGACAGGUAAUGUGAAUUGCAGAAUUCAGUGAAGCAUCGAAUCUUUGAACGCACAUUGCGGCCGCCAGCAUUCUGGCGGGCAUGCCUGUUCGAGCGUCAUUU
rnacentral:rRNA from 1 species